CCGCCCUCACCUGUCCUCUAGCAGGGGCGCGGCGACACGGUUCCGUCCGCCACCACGGCCGCGGGCCCGGGGAAGCUCAUGACCGACUCCGGGUUCUCGGUUGUUCCCGGUGCGCUCCUGCCACCGUCGCCGCCGUCCCCACCUUCCGGACCGACAGCCGCCGCCACGUCCGCAAACCUGCGGUGCGUCAUCGCGUAGAGUAGGCGGAGGUGCGAGGGCGCGGGCGGGGGCGGGGAGCCCGGGCCCCGGGCGGCCAACCGCAGGCCCACGCUAGCACGCAGGCGCGCCGACGCCGCUGGGGGCGGGGCCUGGCUUCAGCCCCGCCUCCGGCCCCGCCCCAUCGGGGGCUCCCAGCCUCGUUGGAUCCCCGCACUCUGCGGAUCCGCGGCGGGCGAGGCUAGCCCGCCGCCACCCGAGCAAAGAAAGACAGGCAGAGGGCAGGAUGAAGGGCCCACGGAGAGCCGCUGUGCAUUUCUUCUCGCUCGAUACUGCACUUCGUCUGAGUACUUACCCAUUUAGGUCCACAUUGCUUGAACGCCGGAUGUAUGACACUUCUCUUUACAGUCUGAAUAGUUAUUCCCUGUGAAGCCUUUGGGACGCCGUUCCAAACUCUUUUCAAAGGGUUUUUUUUGUAUGGUUGGUUGGUCGAUUUUCUGGGUGGUGUCUCUGCAAGGGUUGGGGAUUUUACUUACAUUGCAAUAAGCGCCUUUUAUUUGAAGGGAUGGGCACUGUGCACUGUGCUGAACAAUGCUACAAAGACCUCUAAGCAAAGAAAAUCGAGAAGAAAAAAAAAGUUUGCAGGAGCCGUUCUGUGCGCUGUUGCCCUGUGACACCGCUGUCUGUAAGCAUUUAUCACGGAGACAUUUUCUCAUCAGCAGACAAAGGGUAUAUUCGUCCUUGAUGUGUAGGGCUUCAGCUGUUCCGCCCUCAUGAAUGUUAAUGGAAUGAAACCUUCUUUCUGCGCGUAGGUUACUUUUCUUAUUUUAAUGUCAAUGGGCCACGGAAUCCUUGGAGAGUCUGCGCGACGGAAUGAAUUCCAAGCAUUUCUUCAGGACUGCUACCUGUUCACUUUGAAGAGACAUUCUACAUGAUAUCUGCAAAGCUUUUAAACAAUUAUUUACAUCUAACAAAAAUUGAAUAAUUUAUUUGUUUACAAAAAGGCCACGAUGUAUACAUAUUUUAUUUUAGACUCUACAAAAGAAGCAGUUAGCCAUCAAUUUUGGCUGAGUUCCAAAAAGCUGGCCAGUAAGAACAAGUAUUUGUCUUUGGAAAAAGGAUGUUCUCAGCAAUCCACAAGGCCAAAAGGAUUCUUUGUUUUUUCAGAUCUCAUCUGAUAUGUUUUCCAUUAAAAUGCUGUAGUUGAAAGUA